rnacentral:rRNA from 1 species
GCAUGAAGUUGGAAUCGCUAGUAAUCGCGGAUCAGCAUGCCGCGGUGAAUACGUUCCCGGGCCUUGUACACACCGCCCGUCACACCAUGAGAGUCGGGAACACCCGAAGUCCGUAGCCUAACCGCAAGGGAGGCGCGGCCGAAGGUGGGUUCGAUAAUUGGGGUGAAGUCGUAACAAGGUACC